rnacentral:rRNA from 1 species
GACGAACGCUGGCGGCGUGCUUAACACAUGCAAGUCGUACGGUAAGGCCCUUUCGGGGUUACACGAGUGGCGAACGGGUGAGUAACACGUGCGUAACCUGCCCACAACUUUGGGAUAACGCUAGGAAACUGGUGCUAAUACUGGACAUGUGCCCCUGCUGCAUGGUGGGGGUUGGAAAGCUCCGGGGGUUGGGGAUGGACUCGCGGCCUAUCAGCUUGCUGGUGGGGUAGUGGGCUACCAAGGCGGCGACGGGUAGCCGGCCUGGGAGGGUGACCGGCCAAAUUGGGGCUGGGAUACGGCCCAGACUCCUACGGGGGGCAGCAGGGGGGAAUAUUGCACAAUGGGCGCGAGCCUGAUGCAGCAACGCCGCGGGCGGGAUGACGGCCUUCGGGUUGUAAACCGCUUUCAGCAGGGACGAAGCUUUUUGUGACGGUACCUGCAGAAGAAGCACCGGCUAACUACGUG